UUUCUAUAUACGAUUUUCAUAUAAAACCCAUUUAUCGCUGGCAGAUACCAAACAAAGGUCGGGCAUGAGUAAUACCCGGUGGCGAAGGCUUAGAACAACGCCACCAGCCACUAGACAGACGGACCAAGUCCAAACAAGAUAUAAACUGUCGAUAAAAUGAAUAAAAUGAUCAAGAGACGGUUGCUGGCUGAUUUGAAUCUGUUGCCAAAUAUGGGCGUAACAAGUUGACGAUGACGAUGACGACGACGUUUUGAUGACGACCCAAAAGCCAACGCCAAUAUAAGCAUGAAAUUGCAAAUAAACCAACGAAAGCCAAACAAUGCGGCGCACAAAGAUGCGUGGGCAGCAGCUCUGGAGUUUAGAGUCAAAACACGCGAAGACUGACAAAGAUAUGCGACAUAAUUGGCACCCAGGGCUAAGAACAUGUGAGGAGAGCUUUGGGUAACAUUUUUGAAAGCAAGAGUUAGGAGUUUAUUUAUUAGAAACAAAGACAGACAGACAGCUCCGGGGAGUGUGUUCUGAAUGUCAAUGGAUCUGGCACUGGCACUGGCACUGGCUCCUUUCCCAACCACUGACAUCCAACCACCCGAAACCAGUCGAAGCACCACUCGAGUGGAUCCAAUGGGAGAGAUACCAAAGAUAGAUAGAGCCAAGUGACAAACGAUAAGUUUAUAAAGGCGAAUACAUUGUUGCCGGCAUGUAGCAAAGCUUCGAUAGAAAAUAUAAAAAUAAUAAAAUGAAAAAAAAAAAAGUAAUAAUCACAAUGGCCUGUGUUUAUAGGAGGCAAAAACGUUUUGUUGGGCGGGUCUCAAGUGGAGAGGUUCGACGAUCGCGCGAUGAUUUGCAAAUCGAUGGAGCUAUCCGCCAUACAAGCCAAUAAUAACAUCGAGUAUCCGAACACACACUCACAAUUUGCUGAUCAAAUUGUUCGGCCAAAUGAUGAGCCUGCAGGCAUGUGCCUAGAGAUGGAAGUCAGUGAUUCGAAUUUUAAUCGGGCUUGCAUAAUAUCGCAAUCAGCAAUCAAUAAAAUAUUUAAAAUAAUAAAUAGCAGCUGCGAGCAUUAAUCGGUAACUAAAUACAAGGUUAGG